AACGUAGGAGACAAACGUUAUCCGGAGUCACUGGGCGUAAAGGGCGUGUAGGUGGUAAUGUAAGUCUGGCGUGAAAUUUUUCGGCUUAACCGGGAAAGGUCGUCGGAUACUGCAUGACUAGAGUACGGAAGAGGCGAGUGGAAUUCCUGGUGUAGCGGUGGAAUGCGCAGAUAUCAGGAGGAACACCAAUAGCGAAGGCAGCUCGCUGGGACGUACUGACACUGGAGACGCGAAAGCGUGGGGAGCAAACAGG
rnacentral:rRNA from 1 species